rnacentral:tRNA from 183 species
GGGUCGUUAGCUCAGCUGGUAGAGCAGCGGACUUUUAAUCCGUUGGUCACAGGUUCGAAUCCCGUACGGCCUACCA